rnacentral:lncRNA from 1 species
CGCUGUUUUGUUUGUACUCGGGGCAAAUUGCAGUUUUCGGUAAGACAUCACAGCAACCAUCAAAUCCACAGGUAUUAUCCAGACAGAUCCGAAUCUUGAAGGUAUGAAUACUCAACAACCAUAAUUUUUUUUUCCCAAAUCCCAAUGGCAGACAAGGAAGCUUCUACAUAUGGCGAAAUAAAGAUCUUAUCGGUAAGACUUCAGGCAAGGAAGCAAUUCGGUCUUUGUUCAUAUUUUCCAUAUAUACAAAAAUUCAGUCAUGAAUUGCCAAUCAAUCACAUGAAGCAAAGCAUCCCUGAACCACUUGCUGAUAACACAGCAUUGUGAAACCAGAAUAUAUACUGUUUACAUCUGGAUUGAGCAUGUUGUCAAUUAUUCAGCUACACACAUCUAAAGUCACUACUGACAUGUUACAUCGAUGUUCUAGCUUUAUAGACUAGCUUGAUUCUAGGCUAAUGCAAGGAACCUCGAAGGAUCUGAUAUUCAGAUCCCAACAACUUUACCCCUAGGCUAAUGCAAGGAACCUUGAAGGGUCUGAUAUUCAGAUCCCAACAACAUUGUCCAAUACCAACUUUUAGAUAGUGCAGUAAGUUUUCAGAAUCCGUCUUGCAAGAUCGGUAGCUCCACUUUUCUUAUAGAUUAGAUGCAGAUUGAACGCUGCCUCUCUACGCACGUCACAGUACCCUGGCCUCAGGUCCUCUGGCACACGUGAACCAGCCUCGUAUGGAAGCUUAGGUAUGGGAUGAUCUUUCUCCUCGAUUGCCAAAGCCUUCUCGUAGUAAACAGCUGCCAAGGUAUUCAGGCCAAUGUGGUGAUAUGCCCGAGCAAUGUUGUACAAGGCUUCCUACGACACACAAACAUAAUUCCACUGUAACUCACCAAAUUGCCGGCACUCCACAACGAAAAUAGGAACAUGCUAAAUCAACACAUUAAAUCAGUAUGGAAACAGAAAAUCCUAUUCCUAUUCUUGGGACCUUGGUUAAAAAGUUCUUAGAUCAACAGGGUGGAGGCACUUGGAUCGAGGAACAUGGUACAAUACUUGUGGAAGGUUUUUACACUGCAGGAAUAUAAUUGUUCCGAUUGACAUUCCCAGGACAAGGAAUGUGGCAUCAUUCCAAGUUCCUGGCUACUAUGUCCGGGA